GUUAAGCGACUAAGCGUACACGGUGGAUGCCCUGGCAGUCAGAGGCGAUGAAGGACGUGCUAAUCUGCGAUAAGCGUCGGUAAGGUGAUAUGAACCGUUAUAACCGGCGAUUUCCGAAUGGGGAAACCCAGUGUGUUUCGACACACUAUCAUUAACUGAAUCCAUAGGUUAAUGAGGCGAACCGGGGGAACUGAAACAUCUAAGUACCCCGAGGAAAAGAAAUCAACCGAGAUUCCCCCAGUAGCGGCGAGCGAACGGGGAGC
rnacentral:rRNA from 1 species